GAGUUUGAUCAUGGCUCAGGAUGAACGCUGGCGGCGUGCCUAACACAUGCAAGUCGAGCGGCAGCGAGUUUUACACUAAGUUCUGGAAGUGAUUCGAGAAUUUUGUGUAAAAUGUCGGCGAGCGGCGGACGGCUGAGUAGCGCGUGGGAACAUACCCCAAAGUGAGGGAUAACUGCCCGAAAGGGUGGCUAAUACCGCAUAUGAUCUUCGGAUUAAAGGAUUUAUCCGCUUUGGGAAUGGCCUGCGUCGGAUUAGGUAGUUGGUGAGGUAAAGGCUCACCAAGCCGACGAUCCGUAACUGGUUUGAGAGGAUGACCAGUCAGAUUGGAACUGAGACACGGUCCAGACUCCUACGGGAGGCAGCAGUGAGGAAUCUUCCACAAUGGGCGAAAGCCUGAUGGAGCAACGCCGCGUGCAGGAUGAAGGCCUUCGGGUGUAAACUGCUUU
rnacentral:rRNA from 1 species